UCCGAGUUGACCCCGGCAGUCUCCCAUGAGUCCCCACCAUAACGUGCUGGCAACAUGGAACGAGGGUUGCGCUCGUUGCGGGACUUAACCCAACAUCUCACGACACGAGCUGACGACAGCCAUGCAGCACCUGUCUCACGGUUCCCGAAGGCACAUCCGCAUCUCUGCAGACUUCCGUGGAUGUCAAGGCCAGGUAAGGUUCUUCGCGUUGCAUCGAAUUAAACCACAUGCUCCACCGCUUGUGCGGGCCCCCGUCAAUUCCUUUGAGUCUCAACCUUGCGGCCGUACUCCCCAGGCGGGACGCUUAAUGCGUUAGCUGCUCCACUGACAAGCAAGCUUGCCAACGGCUAGCGUCCAUCGUUUACGGCGUGGACUAC
rnacentral:misc_RNA from 1 species